rnacentral:rRNA from 1 species
GACGAACGCUGGCGGCGUGCCUAAUACAUGCAAGUCGAACGCUUCUUUUUCCACCGGAGCUUGCUCCACCGGAAAAAGAGGAGUGGCGAACGGGUGAGUAACACGUGGGUAACCUGCCCAUCAGAAGGGGAUAACACUUGGAAACAGGUGCUAAUACCGUAUAACAAUCAAAACCGCAUGGUUUUGAUUUGAAAGGCGCUUUCGGGUGUCGCUGAUGGAUGGACCCGCGGUGCAUUAGCUAGUUGGUGAGGUAACGGCUCACCAAGGCCACGAUGCAUAGCCGACCUGAGAGGGUGAUCGGCCACAUUGGGACUGAGACACGGCCCAAACUCCUACGGGAGGCAGCAGUAGGGAAUCUUCGGCAAUGGACGAAAGUCUGACCGAGCAACGCCGCGUGAGUGAAGAAGGUUUUCGGAUCGUAAAACUCUGUUGUUAGAGAAGAACAAGGAUGAGAGUAACUGUUCAUCCCUUGACGGUAUCUAACCAGAAAGCCACGGCUAACUACGUGCCAGCAGCCGCGGUAAUACGUAGGUGGCAAGCGUUGUCCGGAUUUAUUGGGCGUAAAGCGAGCGCAGGCGGUUUCUUAAGUCUGAUGUGAAAGCCCCCGGCUCAACCGGGGAGGGUCAUUGGAAACUGGGAGACUUGAGUGCAGAAGAGGAGAGUGGAAUUCCAUGUGUAGCGGUGAAAUGCGUAGAUAUAUGGAGGAACACCAGUGGCGAAGGCGGCUCUCUGGUC